ACGGAGGGGGCUAGCGUUGUUCGGAAUCACUGGGCGUAAAGCGCGCGUAGGCGGUUUGAUAAGUUGGGCGUGAAAUCCCGGGGCUCAACCCCGGAACUGCGUCCAAAACUGUUUGACUAGAGUCCGGAAGAGGGUGGUGGAAUUUCCAGUGUAGAGGUGAAAUUCGUAGAUAUUGGAAAGAACACCAGUGGCGAAGGCGACCACCUGGUCCGGUACUGACGCUGAGGUGCGAAAGCGUGGGGAGCAAACAGG
rnacentral:rRNA from 1 species